GGCAGUAGCAAAUAUUCAAAUGAAAACUUUGAAGGCCGAAGAGGAGAAAGGUUCCAUGUGAACGGCACUCGCACAUGGGUAAGCCGAUCCUAAGGGACGGGGUAACCCUGGCAGUUAACGCGAUCACGCGUAUCCCGCGAAAGGGAAUAGGGUUAAGAUUUCCCGAGCCGAGAUGUGGCGGUUGACGGCGAUGUUAGGAAGUCCGGAGACGCCGAUGGGGGCCUUGGGAAGAGUUAUCUUUUCUGCUUAAUGGCCUGCCAACCCUGGAAACGGUUCAACCGGAGGUAGGGUCUAGUGGCCGGAAGAGCACCGCACGUCGCGCGGUGUCCGGUUCGCCCCCGGCGGCCCAUGAAAAUCCGGAGGACCGAGUAACGUUCACGACCGGUCGUACUCAUAACCGCAUCAGGUCUCCAAGAUGAAGAGCCUCUGGCC
rnacentral:rRNA from 16 species